rnacentral:rRNA from 1 species
CAUCACUACGCUAGAUGCAUAUCAAUAAGCGGAGGAAAAGAAACUAACAAGGAUUCCCUAGUAACGGCGAGUGAAGCGGGAAGAGCUCAAAUUUGAAAUCUUAAAGGGUUUCCCUUUACGAAUUGUAGUUUAAAGAAGUGUUUUCUGUUGGAGUUUCGGUAAAAGUUCUUUGGAAUAGGACAUCAUAGAGGGUGAGAAUCCCGUAUUUGACCGUUACUUUCCAGCUGUGUGAUACACUUUCAAAGAGUCGGAUUGUUUGGGAAUGCAGUCCAAAAUGGGUGGUAAAUUUCAUCUAAAGCUAAAUAUUGGCGAGAGACCGAUAGCGAACAAGUACCGUGAGGGAAAGAUGAAAAGAACUUUGAAAAGAGAGUUAAACAGUACGUGAAAUUGUCAAAAGGGAAGCGUUUGACACCAGUGUUGUUUAGUUGAAAAUCAAUUCAAUAAUUUUUGAUUUUGAGUAGUAUUGACUUCAUCAGCUUGCUGCUUUCUUUUCCGGAAAUUAUUGAAUGCACUUUUCAGUUAACAAGUCAACAUCAAUUUCUUUUGUUGUAAAAGGGUAAGAGGAAGGUGGCUUACGCUUCGGCGUAAGUGUUUAUAGCCUUUUACCUCUGCAAUCGGAGAGAUUGAGGACAGCAGCGUAGACUCUUCGGGGUUAGAUACACUUGUGCCAAGCUAUAGCCUUGUAUAGACAACUUGUUGACUAUGCUCAGUCAUGUAGCUUACUCGCUUGUGCUAUUUUACCUACGCUUAGGAUGUUGACGAGACUGUCGAUCUC